UGCACCACCACGCCCGCCCGGCUGGCCAAAUCUCUUUCAGGCACCUCAGCUAGUUUCUUCUGCCAGACCGCUUAUCUGGUUUCAGUCUUAGCAGCUUUGUAUGAGAAUCUUUGCAGCUUGGCUUCAUUUUGUCUGAGAGGGACUCUUCAGCCUUUCUUUAUUCUUGAAAAGAGGGGCCUAGUGAAUAUGAUCAGUUUCAGGGACUUCCUAGGUUAUUUGUUUGUUGUUAUCAUUGUUUUGAGACAAAGUUUCUCUGGAACUAGCUCUAUAUAGACAAGUCUGGCUUUGAAUUCAGAGAUCUGCCUGCCUCUGCUUUCAGACUGCUGGUAUUAACGGCAAGAUGCGACCUUUUACCUUCCUGUUUUUAAAAGCUUCCCUGCAGGACCUGAUUUUUCAGUAUGGGAGGAAACUGUUACACAACAGUGCAUUCAGGGGAAGGAGGGAAAAGGGGAAAAAAAAAAAAACCAAUCUGCAGAUUCUAGUCAUCUGGGGCUGAAGAAUCAGCUGUCAUUAACAAGAAACCAGAGCCUCUGAAGUGAAACAUUUGGCUUUUGGAACAAUCAAUGCUGGUGAGCCAGGCUGAAGAAUCAGCUGUGAUUAAUGAAAGCAUCAGGUCUGAGGCUCAUGAAGUCUUCUGCGAGGUGAGGUGCGUAAAGAGUCAAGGUCAAGACCUGUAGGCAAUAAGGACUUGUGUGGCUUUAGGGUUCUAUUGGCGGUUGUGUGAGGAGCAUCCAGAAGGCCGACGGGCAGACAGAUCCUGACUGUGGUGAAUGUGUUAAGACUGGAAGAAUCAAAGCAUUGCCAAGGUGCAAUGCCAGGAAUGGAUCUCCAUGGAGACUCAGCGGAUUCAGAGUCAAGUUCCAUUUCCAGGAACUCAUUGUUCUCAACUAAAUGGAGCGUGUCUGAGGGUCUGAAGCCAACUCUAAGUCUGUUUUCUAACAAGCUAGGUAACAACUGUUAGGAAUUCUUGAGACUACUGUAAGAUUGACACCGCCCCCUCCCCUGUCCCCACCCCCAUGUUUAACCACUCAGGACUUUGAUGGGCUGUGUGCGAUAGCCUUGUAUGAAGUCAUUUAGCUAGCAAGGAGGGAAGUCAUGGGUUACAGGAUGUGAUUACCCAAAGUCUUCAACCAGUACCUUUUGGUUGCAGUCUCUUACUGACCAAAGCCUUGCACUGUAUACCUUGUUUCUUCAGAAUUCUUCUUUUGGUUUUUCGAGACAGGGUUUCUCUGUGUAGCCCUGGCUGUCCUGGAACUCACUCUGUAGACCAGGCUGGCCUUGAACUCAGAAAUCUGCCUGCCUCUGCCUCCCAAGUGCUGGGAUUAAAGGUGUGCACCACCACUGCCCAGCUUACUCUUUUUUAGCACAGGGAAAAGAAACUUGUUACCACUCACCCUGUCAGAUGUGUAAUUGAACAAAGCUGAAUCUUUCUUCUGGGACCCAGAGUUAGAGAUCGUUCCUUUCCUUAGCCUACUGAAUAUUGGUUGGCAACAUUGGAAUUUAGUGGACUAAUUAGUUCCUCUCAUCUUACCCAGCCCUUUAAGCCCGUUCCUCAACUAAGGGUGUAGUUACUAUUCUGGGUUCUUAACAAACUGUGUGUCAGCGUUCUGGUCACACUUGAUGGUACUGCCUUGAGAACCAUUGAAAAAGAUAAAAUCAUCCCUAGUCAUUUAGAAAUAUUUGCCUUUUUCAGGGACAAGUUUGGGAGCAACAGUGGGGACAAAGGUGGCAAGUUACGGAGCCUCAACAACUUGGUAUCUGAACAAAGAGGGCCGUGGAGAGCUCAGUGGUAGAGCACUUGCUUAGCAUGCACAAGGCUCUAGGUUCAAUUCCCAGUACCAUAUACAUAAAAUUUUCAUGUUUACUCUUAAAAAUUAAUUACACUUAUUUGUUGUUGGUCUCUGUAUUAUGGCAUACCAUAAACCCCGAGGCCUGAUAUUAUUUGAUGUCACUCGGACAUUGCUGGGUAUCACAACUCAGGUGUCGAGGUGUUUCAGAUGGGCUACCCCCAUAUUGUCAUAACAACUUGAGAAAUAUAUAGAGAACGUUUGUUUGCUUGAGACAGGGUUUCUUUGUGUAGCCCAGGCUGACCUGGAACUCUGAUCUACCUGCCUCUGCCUCCCAAGUGCUGGGAUUAAAGGCGUGCGCCAACACUGCCCACACCAAGAGCUUUUUGCCC
rnacentral:lncRNA from 1 species